UCCGGGAUGGUCUAAUCGGUUAAGGCGUCGCCCCGGACAGGCGCAGGUUGCGGGUUCAAUUCCCGCUCUCGGCC
rnacentral:tRNA from 1 species